AGGCUUUGAAGUGUGGACGCCAGUCUGCAUGGAGCCGACCUUGAAAUACCACCCUUUAAUGUUUGAUGUUCUAACGUGGGCCCGUAAUCCGGGUUGCGGACAGUGUCUGGUGGGUAGUUUGACUGGGGCGGUCUCCUCCUAAAGAGUAACGGAGGAGCACGAAGGUUGGCUAAUCCUGGUCGGACAUCAGGAGGUUAGUGCAAUGGCAUAAGCCAGCUUGACUGCGAGCGUGACGGCGCGAGCAGGUGCGAAAGCAGGUCAUAGUGAUCCGGUGGUUCUGAAUGGAAGGGCCAUCGCUCAACGGAUAAAAGGUACUCCGGGGAUAACAGGCUGAUACCGCCCAAGAGUUCAUAUCGACGGCGGUGUUUGGCACCUCGAUGUCGGCUCAUCACAUCCUGGGGCUGAAGUAGGUCCCAAGGGUAUGGCUGUUCGCCAUUUAAAGUGGUACGCGAGCUGGGUUUAGAACGUCGUGAGACAGUUCGGUCCCUAUCUGCCGUGGGCGCUGGAGAACUGAGGGGGGCUGCUCCUAGUACGAGAGGACCGGAGUGGACGCAUCACUGGUGUUCGGGUUGUCAUGCCAAUGGCACUGCCCGGUAGCUAAAUGCGGAAGAGAUAAGUGCUGAAAGCAUCUAAGCACGAAACUUGCCCCGAGAUGAGUUCUCCCUGAGACUUAGAGUCUCCUGAAGGAACGUUGAAGACGACGACGUUGAUAGGCCGGGUGUGUAAGCGCAGCGAUGCGUUGAGCUAACCGGUACUAAUGAACCGUGAGGCUUAACCUUACAACACCGGAG
rnacentral:rRNA from 1 species